CUUGACAUUGGAAAACCACGGCUCUACCGAAAGGUUAAAUUAAAAGUACCAGAGUCCGUAAAUGGGUCUAUCCCAAGAAAUCACAUAGUGUGAGAGAAACGAAGAAGAGACGCUCUCGCGGAUCGGCGUUGCGAUGGCGUCGAGUUCUCCGAAGGAUUCAUUGACAUCGGUCGUACUUGACAAAAAUCCACUAUGUUUGCAAACGAAAAUAGCUGCAACGAGAAACGCACAUGCGAUCCUUCCACGAGAUCGACGUCUCGCAAAACCCUAAUCUCUGUCGCGCGACGAUCUGAGGAGAAAUCUCAUCGAUCAGAUCGACGUCUCGCAAAACCCUAACAUUGUCCGUUUAUUUAUAUCUUCUACAGGAAGAAAACGCAAAAAGUGAGAAACGAAGAAGAGACGCUGUCGCUGUCGUCGUCCUCUACUCCUCCGAAGGCGUGGUCUGAGGAUGAAAUCUCAUCGAUCAGUCACACGUUGAGGUCCUCAAGGACGAGGCCUCCCUCCCUCUCUCAUGUUCAAACGUUUGAAGGGUUUCCUGCCAGCCAAACAGACGAUUCUAGCCCUUGAAGAUUACGUGUUACUCGAAUCUUUGUCAACCGUAUGCUAUUUCAUAUACGGAUAAAAGCAUUCUAGGCCUGACCAGUGGUGGAUGAAACAGAGAGAAUAUAAGAAGAUAUAUGAGCAGUCAUGGGUGAAACUCAGGAAGCAAUGAAGAUCUUUGAUAUUAUAAUCUCUCAAACAUUUUUAAUAUUCCUCCACUUUAAAAUGUGGCUGCUUUGAUGAGAUAAACUAUGUUCAGCAUAUUUUUCAGUCCGUUGACUCCUUUCGUUGAAUUCGACCACACGAUGACCCAUGCCAAAAGUUGGCUUAACCUGACGACUCAGGAAGCGAUGAAGGUUUCAUAUGCAGAGUUGUCAGAAGCACAGACCACCACAUCUCAUUUUAAAGAUUAAUUAUGGUUUUAAAGAUUCAGACUGUGCAUUUUCAACCCUUAAUUUUGACCUGUUCCUGCUUGACUAGCACUUUUGAGAAGGAAAUUGAUGGUCACAGGAAGCAAAACUUCAUCGACUUAGGGUCAUCUUGAGCUAGCUAUUCUAACAGAGAAAUUUCUUAGUAAGUGCCUUCUCUGCUUGAUAUUCUGUUCCGAAACUCUCAAAUUACAAUGAGUAUAUGAUAUCAGUCAAUUUAUUUUACUAACAGUCUUGACACACACAAGUUCUUCAGGACUCUUCUAGCCUGAAACUAUGUAGAUGUAUCUAGCUCUAGCUCAGAAAAACUAACAAACACUAUUUACGACAAAUAGCAUUAUAUAGCUAGCAAUGCAUUCUUGUUGAGAAAGUGGAGAGAAAUUGCUAGCUUAUACUGAGCCGAGAAGUAAGCUUUAGUGCUAGGGCAGACUAUUACACUGCUAAUCUCACUCCCCCUGGCCCAACCCAUUUUCCAGAAACCUACCCACUGCUGUGUUAAGUUUUUCAUGCCUGUGUUGGAUCAAUGAUGCACAUGACAUAUGCAUAAGUUUACUUAUGUACCAGUGACGUAACAUAUGUACCCUUGUGUCUUCUGAAGCUGGUUUUCAGCAUAUGGCUGUUUGCAUCCUUAAAUGCUGUAUAUGCAUUCUCUUCUUUCUGUUUUUUAUUUUUAUUUUCAUGCGUGGACAAUUUGAUAUGACAUUCAACUUCAGGGAUUUGGGGUUUUAUAGAAAAUUUCAUUUGCUUUUAGAAAGACAAUAAAAAGAAAUUGCUAGGGCAUCAUCAAUACAUAAGGAAAUAUGAUACGGAGAGAGAAUUUUAGGAGAAGACAAUUGCAUUCAGUAAUUAGAACAUGGAAGUUAUAUUAGCUUGUCGUCACUAAUUGAACCUUUGUUUAAUUUCUAAAUGCCUUUUCCAUCAUGACUUAAGGUUGGUAGGUUGUAGCGACAUUUCGCAAAGGCCAGCUUGCAUCAUUAAUUUUACUAAGAGUUUGCAUUUUUUAUAUCAUUGUUUACUGGUUUAAAUUUC